UUUGGGGGAGAGAAUGGAGCGUUAUUUCACGAUCGGGAGAAAAAGCUCACUCUCUUUUGGCCCGCAUUCUUCGCAGCCAUGCAUUAAAUCUUAUUUUUUGUUGAUCUUUGGCCGGCAGCCGGCUUCUACAUUCUACAUUCUACCACUCUUCUCUUCUACUUUUCGCUCUUCAAGUCUUCUUGCGCUCUUCUCUACGUCUUCUCUGCAAUCUACAAUUGUCUCCGUUCUGGAAGCUUUCCCUCUCUCAAAGCUGUUUGAUUGCAAGCAAAAAGCAUAGAUCAACGUCAAAAAACAACAGGUCGUAAAUUUUCAGAGCAAGUGAGCAGAUGGAAUUUCGGCGAGUGCAUCACGUGCGAAAAUUCCCGUAUACGCAAAUUCGCAAAAACUGCAGCGGCGAUCGAUCACACGCAUAUUAAAUGGGGUGGGGAUAUGGGCCAAGGCGUGUGCGCCAUGCAAAAUGUUAAAUGUGAAGUGCUAAAUGCGAAAUGCAAAAUGCGAAAUGGAAUAUCAUGACAACACCCGCUCACGCCCAUCGAAUCAGCAGAGCUGCGGAUUAAUGUAACAUGCAAAAAAUGCCGCAAUUUAUUUACAUUUACCAGCACUUGAGGAAAUGGUUUCACUCGGUAUAAUAAUAAUAUAUGUAUAACAGAUAAUAAUAAAAAAUAUCCUUUUUAAAUUCUUUAAUAAAACCUGAUGUGCUGAGAUAUAUUUACAUUCUGAUAUCUAUCAUUUAAA